AGAGUUUGAUCAUGGCUCAGAGCGAACGCUGGCGGCAGGCCUAACACAUGCAAGUCGAGCGGCCGUAGCAAUACGGCAGCGGCAGACGGGAGAGUAACACGUGGGAACGCGCCCUUCGGUUCGGAAUAACUCAGGGAAACUUGGGCUAAUACCGGAUACGCCCUUACGGGGAAAGAUUUAUUGCCGAAGGAACGGCCCGCGUCCGAUUAGCUUGUUGGUGAGGUAACGGCUCACCAAGGCGACGAUCGGUAGCUGGUCUGAGAGGAUGACCAGCCUCACUGGGACUGAGACACGGCCCAGACUCCUACGGGAGGCAGCAGUGGGGAAUAUUGGACAAUGGGCGCAAGCCUGAUCCAGCCAUGCCGCGUGGGUGAUGAAGGCCCUAGGGUUGUAAAGCCCUUUCAGCGGGGAAGAUAAUGACGGUACCCGCAGAAGAAGCCCCGGCUAACUUCGUGCCAGCAGCCGCGGUAAUACGAAGGGGGCUAGCGUUGCUCGGAAUUACUGGGCGUAAAGCGCACGUAGGCGGAUUGUUAAGUCGGGGGUGAAAUCCUGGAGCUCAACUCCAGAACUGCCUUCGAUACUGGCGAUCUCGAGUUCGGGAGAGGUGAGUGGAACUGCGAGUGUAGAGGUGAAAUUCGUAGAUAUUCGCAAGAACACCAGUGGCGAAGGCGGCUCACUGGCCCGAUACUGACGCUGAGGUGCGAAAGCGUGGGGGAGCAAACAGGAUUAGAUACCCUAGUAGUCC
rnacentral:rRNA from 1 species